rnacentral:tRNA from 1 species
GGGCAGGAAGUGUUUUCGGUAAACACACCCGCAGGCACAGCGGGAGAUUGCCGGUUCGAAUCCGGCUCAGCCCUCCA